GAUCCUGGCUCAGGAUGAGCGCUAGCUACAGGCUUAACACAUGCAAGUCGAGGGGCAGCAUUUUAGUUUGCUUGCAAACUGAAGAUGGCGACCGGCGCACGGGUGAGUAACACGUAUCCAACCUGCCGAUAACUCCGGGAUAGCCUUUCGAAAGAAAGAUUAAUACCGGAUAGCAUACGAAUNUCGAAUGAUAUUUUUAUUAAAGAAUUUCGGUUAUCGAUGGGGAUGCGUUCCAUUAGUUUG
rnacentral:rRNA from 1 species